UGCGUAGGCUGCGUCGUAAGUCGGGUGUGAAAUCUCGGGGCUCAACUCCGAAAUUGCAUUCGAUACUGCGGUGCUUGAGGACUGGAGAGGAGACUGGAAUUCACGGUGUAGCAGUGAAAUGCGUAGAUAUCGUGAGGAAGACCGGUGGCGAAGGCGGGUCUCUGGACAGUUCCUGACGCUGAGGACAAGGCCAGGGGAGCGAAACG
rnacentral:rRNA from 1 species